AGAACAGGGAAGGAUUUCCUGGAAUCUGAGCAUACUCCACAAGAUUUCAGGUAUAUCUUAUCUAUUCCUCUGAGAUAAGUAUCAAAUACUGUUAUUCUCAUGCAGAAGAGGAAACUGAAGCUCUGGGAAGUUAAGUGCUUUAUUUGGGUUUUUAUAGCUACUCAAUGGCAGAUCUAGGAUUCCGCUUUCCAACAAAGUUCCACUUAAGAUUUGAGACAUCCCAGUCACCUUUACAAUUUGAAAAUAGUUGUGGAAAAUUUAUCUUUAUGGAGCAAGUGUCAUCUGGAGGAGACUGGAAACCUGCCAUUUAGUACCACGUCAAAACACUCACUCGACCUGAAUCCAUAUUCCAGUUGUUGUCAUGAUGUAGCAACUUUUAUCUUGAGCUUACCAUGUAAACAAAACACUCACCAUGAGGCAAGACGGAGGUCUCACAGUUCUUUGGAUUUAAGUGUGUAUACUUCUC